rnacentral:rRNA from 1 species
GCACGCCUGCCCAGUGAAUAUUAAACGGCCGCGGUACCCUAACCGUGCAAAGGUAGCAUAAUCAUUUGUCUACUAAUUAUAGACCUGUAUGAAUGGCAAAAUGAGGGCCCAACUGUCUCUUAUAAUAAACCAAUUAAACUGAUCUCCUAGUAAAAAAGCUAGAAUAACACCAUAAGACCAGAAGACCCUGUGAAACUUAAACUAAACUAUUAAAACAAAUAAUAGCUACUUUCGGUUGGGGCGACCUUGGAAAAAAAAAGAACUUCCAAAUACACCACACACUGGCCAACAAGCCAUCAAAGACCCAGCACAGCUGACAAUUGAACCAAGCUACUCCAGGGAUAACAGCGCUAUCUUCUUCAAGAGCCCAUAUCAAAAAGAAGGUUUACGACCUCGAUGUUGGAUCAGGACACCCAAAUGGUGCAACCGCUAUUAAAGGUUCGUUUGUUCAACGAUUAAUGUCCUA